UAAGACAGAGGGUGCAAACGUUGUUCGGAAUUACUGGGCGUAAAGCGCGUGUAGGCGGCUAUGCAAGUCGGAUGUGAAAGCCCUCGGCUCAACCGGGGAAGUGCACCCGAAACUGCAAAGCUAGAGUCUCGGAGAGGAUCGUGGAAUUCUCGGUGUAGAGGUGAAAUUCGUAGAUAUCGAGAGGAACACCGGUGGCGAAGGCGGCGAUCUGGACGAUGACUGACGCUGAGACGCGAAAGCGUGGGGAGCAAACAGGAUUAGAUACCCUGGUAGUCCACGCCGUAAACGAUGGGUGCUAGGUGUCGCGGGCUUUGACCCCUGCGGUGCCGCAGCUAACGCAUUAAGCACCCCGCCUGGGAAGUACGGCCGCAAGGCU
rnacentral:rRNA from 1 species